UUAGAUAUAUAAUAUAUACACACAUGUCUGUGGACACCCCUUCAAAUGAAUGGAUUCAGCUAUUUAAGCCUCACCCAUUGCUGACAGGUGUAUAAAAUCGAGGACAAAGCCGUGCAAUCUCCAUAGACAAAAACAGGCAGUAUGGCAGUAGAUUGGCAACAUUCACUACAGAGUUCCAAACAGCCUCUGGAAGCAACGGCAGCACAAUAAGUUGUCAUAAGUCAUUGGGAGCAUCAUGAAAUGGGUUUCUAUGGCUGUGCAGCCGCACAUAAGCCUAAAAUCACCAUGCACAAUAGCAAGAAUCGUACUCUGGAGAUGUGGAAACCCGUUCUCUGGAGUGAUGAAUCACGCUUCACCAUCUGGCAGUCCAACGGAUGAUUCUGGGUUUGGCGGUUGCCAAUAGAACGCUACCUGCCCCAAUGCAUAUUGCCAACUGUAAAGUUUGGUGGAUGAGGAAUGGUCUGGAGCUGUUUUUCAUGGUUCGGCCUAGGCACCUUUUGUUCCAGUGAAGGGAAUGCUACAACAUACAAUGACAUUCUGUAUUCCAUAUUAAUACUCAUGAUUUUAGAAUGAGAUGUUCGACAAGCAGGUGUCCACAUACUUUUGGUCAUGUAGUGUUCUUCAGAGAUAUUUAUGUGAGAAAUGACCAUAAUAUGUUCUGUAUUUUCAGGGUCAGGAGAGCAUGUUACCAACCCAACAGUUUUUGGGGUUGCAGCAGGAACUCUGGGGGCAUUUUUGCUUAUCAGCCUGAUCAGUCUUUUUGUAUGGUAAAAACUUUUCCUGGCAUCAAUGUAAAAACAUAAAUGUAUGUUGUGCUUGUGCUGUUGCAUAUGAAAACCCUCUCAGUGCAUUCAGAAUACCUUUGUAAAUGUCUUCCAGGAGGAGAAACUCGAGGCUCCACAAUGGACUUGAAAGGACGGACAGUCAACAGGGACAGAACUCCCCGGUUGGGACAGUGUGUACUAACCAGGCCACAGCCGGAGAGGAACCAGAGAAAACCUGCAGAAGACCAGCCUGAAGAGAUCCACUACGGUGACAUAGACUUCUCCAAACUACAGACCAAAGAGACCCCAGCUGCAGCCCAGGACAGGAUCCAGGGACAGGAGAGUGAGUACGCUGAAGUCAACCUGACUGGGAGAGGGGCUCAGGAACCACCUCUUAACAACCUAGAUGGGCUUUAUGCACAAGUGAAUAAAAUAAGUGCUUGUUAAUUAUUUUUCCAAUGGGUAUUAAGUGUUUUUAUGUACACUAUUGUCAUUGUGUAUCUGUUUUCUAUUGGUACAUUUGUUACAUCUAUAAUUGUGUGCUCUUUGAUUAUCUGCAUAUUUGUAGAAUUUUCUGGGAUGAAAAGUGUUUAACUGUUACUAUAGUGUUGAUAUGAUGAUGCAGGCUACUCUUUAUUUUGGACCAUUUAUUUUGAGUGUUCAGUUCACAGAGCAUCUGUUUAAUGGGUUCCAGUAUAGAGGAACUGCUGAGUUCAAUUAGCUCAGUGAAGGCAGAUUAAGACCAUAUAAAGUCAAUGAUGACUGAGGAGAGAAGAGACAGGUAGUUGGAGAGACAGUGGUCUGAUACAAGACAGGAAGUUGGUGCAGUAAGUCUACAUGAUGGCAGAAUGGUGUUAACAUCUACUAGUCACUGUUUAUCUUAAUCUUUUGUGCAGUUCCCAGAAUAACAAUAUCCUCUACUUUCAGUUUAUAUCUAUUUAGAAGUAAUUGUUUCAGUUUUUAUGUUGAGUGUUAAAUUGAAGAAACAAUUGAGACGGCAUUUCAGGUUGUUUAUUAAUUGCACUGUAAUUAAAACAUUUACAUUCAA